AACGAACGCUGGCGGCGCGUUUUAAGCAUGCAAGUCGAACGGUAACAGGCCUUCGGGCGCUGACGAGUGGCGAACGGGUGAGUAACACGUAGGUGAUCUGCCCAUAGGUUGGGGAUAUAC
rnacentral:rRNA from 1 species